UACGGGGGGGGCAAGCGUUGUUCGGAAUUACUGGGCGUAAAGGGCCAGUAGGCGGCCAACUAAGUCGGAUGUGAAAUCCCCAGGCUUAACCUGGGAACUGCAUCCGAUACUGGAUGGCUUGAAUUCGGGAGAGGGAUGCAGAAUUCCAGGUGUAGCGGUGAAAUGCGUAGAUAUCUGGAGGAAUACCGGUGGCGAAGGCGGCAUCCUGGACCGACAUUGACGCUGAAAGGCGAAAGCUAGGGGAGCAAACGGG
rnacentral:rRNA from 1 species